GACGAACGCUGGCGGCGUGCUUAACACAUGCAAGUCGAACGAUGAACUUGGAGCUUGCUCUGGGGGAUUAGUGGCGAACGGGUGAGUAACACGUGAGUAACCUGCCCUGGACUCUGGGAUAACUUCGAGAAAUCGGAGCUAAUACCGGAUAGGACCUUGCACCGCAUGGUGUGGGGUGGAAAGUUUUUCGGUUUGGGAUGGACUCGCGGCCUAUCAGCUUGUUGGUGAGGUAAUGGCUCACCAAGGCGUCGACGGGUAGCCGGCCUGAGAGGGUGACCGGCCACACUGGGACUGAGACACGGCCCAGACUCCUACGGGAGGCAGCAGUGGGGAAUAUUGCACAAUGGGCGCAAGCCUGAUGCAGCAACGCCGCGUGCGGGAUGACGGCCUUCGGGUUGUAAACCGCUUUUAGUAGGGAAGAAGCCUUCGGGUGACGGUACCUGCAGAAAAAGGACCGGCUAACUACGUGCCAGCCGCCGCCGUAACAC
rnacentral:rRNA from 1 species